rnacentral:rRNA from 1 species
AUUGAACGCUGGCGGCGGGCCUAACACAUGCAAGUCGAGCGAGCGGCGGACGGGUGAGUAAUGUAUGGGGACUGCCCGACAGCGGGGGAUAAAUCCUGGAUACGGUAGCUAAUACCGCAUACUAUCGGAUAACCCAUAUGGGAUUAGCUAGUAGGUGAGGUAAUGGAUCACCUAGGCCACGAUCCCUAGCUGGUCUGAGAGGAUGAUCAGCAACACGGGGACUGAUACACGGCCCAGACUCCUACGGAGGCAGCAGUGGUGAAUAUUGCAAAAUGGGCGCAAGCCUGAUGCAGCCAUGCCGCGUGAAUGAAGAAGGCCCUAGGUGUGUAAAGUACUUUUAGUCGGGAGGCGUUACCGACAGAAGAAGCACCGGCUAACUCCGUGCCAGCAGCCGCGGUAAUUC